GACCCGUGUUGCUACCCCGUUAAUAUUUUUUCUUAAGGAAACCUUGACUUUUCUCCUUUAAAAAAUCCCCCUUUUUGAAACUCACUCCUAAAUUUGUCACCGCCGCUUCAUUUACGGGGAUUUUAUUUCCGUUGGAGUUCAACACAUCAAUUUUAGCCAUUUCCAUUUCAAGAUUCUGAUGGAUCCUUGAGUUAUGCCAAGAUUUCCAUUCAAAAAGCAUCCAUGACCCAAAGGCCUUUGUCGGCUCCACCACUUUUUCGUUCAUAGAUGAGGCUCCCACCAUUGAAUCUGAACUCACCACGACGUCCGUUGCUAACCAACACCAAGGAAAAGGUUUUGCAAGUGGCCAAACCUUCCACAUGAGAAACAGACUAAAGGUGAGCUUUGAUGUGGGGACUUGGGCCGGAGGGGAUUCAGAGUGGCCACGGUGAUCGCUUUUGGACCUUUAAAUAAGCGUUGGUUUUCAUUUAAUUUCCUUUAAUUAUUAUUUAUUUUUGGGUUGUAAUAAGGCUAUUUUUAACUUUUCUUUUAUUUCUUCUUGGGAUUAUUUUAUUUUUAAUAACUUCAAACUUGGUUGAUAAUUGUUCAAAUGGGCUAGACUUAAGACGUGUUUUCAAA